AGGGAAUAUUGGACAAUGGGCGCAAGCCUGAUCCAGCCAUGCCGCGUGAGUGAAGAAGGCCCUCGGGUUGUAAAGCUCUUUUGUCCGGAAAGAAAAGCGCCGGGUUAAUACCCUGGUGUCCUGACGGUACCGGAAGAAUAAGCACCGGCUAACUUCGUGCCAGCAGCCGCGGUAAUACGAAGGGUGCAAGCGUUACUCGGAGUUACUGGGCGUAAAGCGUGCGUAGGUGGUUUGUUAAGUCUGAUGUGAAAGCCCUGGGCUCAACCUGGGAAUUGCAUUGGAUACUGGCAGGCUAGAGUGCGGUAGAGGGUAGUGGAAUUCCCGGUGUAGCAGUGAAAUGCGUAGAGAUCGGGAGGAACAUCUGUGGCGAAGGCGGCUCACUGGCUCGAUACUGACGCUGAGGUGCGAAAGCGUGGGGAGCAAAC
rnacentral:rRNA from 1 species